GGCCGAAGGACGCCAGCCGUCCAUACUGACCACAAGCAGGGAUGCAUACGUGCACUCUCAGCCAUUAGGAGAGGUUUUGAACAGUUGUAGUCUUGACGUUUUGACGGAUGGAAACUUUUCUUGAAAAACUAACACAUGAAAAAAAAAAAAAUGAAACAAAAAAACAACAACACAAAAAACACACGAAGAAGCAAACAAAGUGGAAAAACAAGCGCAUAAGGAAGGGCGUUUCGUGAAGCAUAUCGCAUUUAACGAAAGCGUGUGUUUCCACGGCGAUGAAAGACUGGCGUGACGGGGGACGACAGCGACGGCGGAGACGAGGACGAAAACAAAUAAACUGAAAACUUUUUUC